GGAAAACUGUUUGGAACAUCCAAAUUUUGCCCCAUUGGACACAAUGGAAUUUGGCUGGGGAAUUUUACAAAUUCAUAUGUGACAUGGUUUCUCA
rnacentral:lncRNA from 1 species